rnacentral:rRNA from 1 species
UAUCUCGGCUCUUGCAUCGAUGAAGAACGUAGCGAAAUGCGAUACUUGGUGUGAAUUGCAGAAUCCCGUGAACCAUCGAGUCUUUGAACGCAAGUUGCGCCUGAAGCCAUUAGGCCGAAGGCACGUCUGCCUGGGCGUCACGCAUUGCGUCACCCACUCCCCCGUGCCUAAGCGGGCAU